GAUGAACGCUGGCGGCGUGCCUAAUACAUGCAAGUCGAGCGAACAGACGAGGAGCUUGCUCCUCUGACGUUAGCGGCGGACGGGUGAGUAACACGUGGAUAACCUACCUAUAAGACUGGGAUAACUUCGGGAAACCGGAGCUAAUACCGGAUAAUAUAUUGAACCGCAUGGUUCAAUAGUGAAAGACGGUUUUGCUGUCACUUAUAGAUGGAUCCGCGCCGCAUUAGCUAGUUGGUAAGGUAACGGCUUACCAAGGCGACGAUGCGUAGCCGACCUGAGAGGGUGAGCGGCCACACUGGAACUGGGACACGGUCCAGACUCCUACGGGAGGCAGCAGUAGGGAAUCUUCCGCAAUGGGCGAAAGCCUGACGGAGCAACGCCGCGUGAGUGAUGAAGGUCUUCGGAUCGUAAAACUCUGUUAUUAGGGAAGAACAAAUGUGUAAGUAACUAUGCACGUCUUGACGGUACCUAAUCAGAAAGCCACGGCUAACUACGUG
rnacentral:rRNA from 1 species